rnacentral:rRNA from 1 species
AACGAACGCUGGCGGCAUGCCUAACACAUGCAAGUCGAACGAGACCUUCGGGUCUAGUGGCGCACGGGUGCGUAACGCGUGGGAACCUGCCCUUAGGUUCGGAAUAACUCCCCGAAAGGGGUGCUAAUACCGGAUAAUGUCUUCGGACCAAAGAUUUAUCGCCUUUGGAUGGGCCCGCGUUGGAUUAGCUAGUUGGUAGGGUAAAAGCCUACCAAGGCGACGAUCCAUAGCUGGUCUGAGAGGAUGAUCAGCCACACUGGGACUGAGACACGGCCCAGACUCCUACGGGGGGCAGCAGGGGGGAAUAGUGGACAAUGGGGGAAAGCCUGAUCCAGCAAUGCCGGGUGAGGGAUUAAGGCCUUAGGGUUGUAAAGCUCUUUUACCCGGGAUGAUUAUGAAAGGACCGGGAAAAAAAGCCCCGGCUAACUCCG